rnacentral:rRNA from 1 species
UCGAGGGGCAGCGAGAUCAGUGCUUGCACUGAUUGUCGGCGACCGGCGCACGGGUGCGUAACGCGUAUGCAACCUACCCAUUACAGGGGGAUAACACUGAGAAAUCGGUACUAAUACCCCAUAACAUCCAGGGAGGCAUCUUCUUGGGUUGAAAACUCCGGUGGUAAUGGAUGGGCAUGCGUUGUAUUAGUUAGUUGGUGGGGUAACGGCUCACCAAGACCACGAUACAUAGGGGGACUGAGAGGUUAACCCCCCACAUUGGUACUGAGACACGGACCAAACUCCUACGGGAGGCAGCAGUGAGGAAUAUUGGUCAAUGGACGCAAGUCUGAACCAGCCAUGCCGCGUGCAGGAAGACGGCUCUAUGAGUUGUAAACUGCUUUUGUACGAGGGUAAACGCAGAUACGCGUAUCUGUCUGAAAGUAUCGUACGAAUAAGGAUCGGCUAACUCCGUGCCAGCAGCCGCGGUAAUACGGAGGAUUCAAGCGUUAUCCGGAUUUAUUGGGUUUAAAGGGUGCGUAGGCGGUCGGAUAAGUUAGAGGUGAAAUCCCGAGGCUCAACUUCGGAAUUGCCUCUGAUACUGUUUGGCUAGAGAGUAGUUGCGGUAGGCGGAAUGUAUGGUGUAGCGGUGAAAUGCUUAGAGAUCAUACAGAACACCGA